CCGAGAAGCAGCACAGGGGCAGCGCCAGCAGCCACCAGCGGGUCGUGCCGCCGCCGUGCUCCCCGCGCCGGCCGCCGGCCAGGUAGCAGACUAGACCGCAUUGCACGACCAGGUUUAUUUGCACAGCUAAUACCUUCGGAAUGGAGCAAAAUAAUAAUUUUGGAAAGGACCGCUGGAAGUGUUUAGACUGCCGUACGGGAAAAUAGGCAGCUAAUGGGAUUUUGAGUAAUGCCUUCCCUCAUUCACCCUGUUUGUUUGUUUCUGGUAAAGUAACUGCUAAGCACUUGUGAAAUUUAUUGUAAUUGUGCAUGUUUACCUUGUUACUUAGAACAAAGGUCCUUUGAGCCAUGUUUCCACAUAGCGCUGUACUGCUUUACUUACACCGCUGCAGACAUCGGUUCGGGUAAGUCAGUGCUCGCACUUUUUCCUUUUUUUUCAUUGGAACAAGGAACUCUUGGAAUUGUUUGGUGCCGUUGGUUGUGAUUGCCUCCCUUUGAGCAGCCCCCGAGUAGCAGCUGGUGUGUGGAAGCUGUGGGGUGGCAGGAAGUGCUGCUGCAGGACACGGGCCUGAAAGCUGGCCAUGAACAGAAACCAUCGAGCGUGAUUCCUGACAGAAAACGCACUGUGCAAUGGCAAAUACAGCAACGGAAAUAAGUCAUGAUAUUUUUUAAAAAAGGCAGAUCAAUCUGGUGGAAUUUUAAUACCAUAGUGCAUCUCCCUCUGUUAGAAAUCCCCCUACACCCUCUAUCCAAAAAAAAAGAAAAAAUUCUCUCCUGACUUGGUACACUUAACAAAAAUUCUGUGCCAUAAUAUUGGUUCUAAAAAGCUUUCAAAAAAGGAGAAUGUGUGGUUUCUUUGGGAUUAUAGUCCUACAUUUUUUAGUAUUCUUAUUUGGACCACAAUCAAGUAUACUUGUAAAUGCUUUUAAGGCUGAGGAAUACCUUGCUUUUAUGCAUAGCCUUUAUUUUUUUCAUUCCCUUGAAUUCAACUGUAAAUAAAUGCAUUCCAGAAAUAA